UCCUUACUAUGCGGUGCGAGGACCCAACAACAUUCCAGACGUUAAGGCCACGCCCCGGGCCACUCCCCCCUCGUCGGGCUGCGGCCUCCCAGUCUCCUCGGCCACACCCCCCUUCCCAACUACUUAAAAGGACACUCCAAAGCUCACGUUUCCUUGCUCUGUAUCGGGGUGUUCUUGUCUGGGUAUCUCUACCCGCUUACGGUGGAAUGGUUGCGCCCUUCGGGUAGCCAAGCAAGCCUCCAAGCAUAAGUCAGGUCGGACCAGGAUGAGAGAGAGGUUUCGGGCAGUUGUUUUACUUCCUGCUUGGCGCACGAAUUGUGGCCCCCUCGUUUCACGUUACCGUGAGGAUUAAAUGAGAUAAUAUGGGAAGCACUGAAUGCCUGAUACACUGGAGGUGCUCAAUAAAUAUGACUUUCCUCAUCAACCUUGCCCUCUGCAUCCAUCAUCUGCCCAGUUCCCCAGGCCAGGAACCUGAGGUCAUCCAAGACACCUUCUCCCCACUCCUCCCCACUCCCCAAUCCAUCCUGAAGCCAAGUGGCUGUUC
ensembl:lncRNA